GACUCCAUGAAGCUGGAUUCGCUAGUAAUCGCGCAUCAGCCAUGGCGCGGUGAAUACGUUCCCGGGCCUUGUACACACCGCCCGUCACACCAUGGGAGCCGGUAAUACCCGAAGUCAGUAGCCUAACCGUAAGGGGGGCGCUGCCGAAGGUAGGAUUGGCGACUGGGGUGAAGUCGUAACAAGGUAAC
rnacentral:rRNA from 1 species